UACGUAGGGGGCAAGCGUUGUCCGGAAUCAUUGGGCGUAAAGCGCGUGUAGGCGGCUUGGUAAGUCUGCUCUGAAAGCCCGGAGCUCAACUCCGGAACUGCCAUUGAAACUGUAAGACUUGAGGGUGAGAGAGGUGAGUGGAAUUCCCAGUGUAGAGGUGAAAUUCGUAGAUAUUGGGAAGAACACCGGUGGCGAAGGCGGCUCACUGGCUCAUAUCUGACGCUCAGGCGCGACAGCGUGGGGAUCAAACAGG
rnacentral:rRNA from 1 species